GGUUCAUUCAAAUUUCUUCCCUAUCAACUUUCGAUGCGAGGGUAUUGUCCUCGCAUGGUUACAACGGGUAACGGAGGGUUAGGGCUCGACCCCGGAGAAGGAGCCUGAGAAACGGCUACUACAUCCAAGGAAGGCAGCAGGCGCGCAAAUUACCCAAUCCCGACCGGGGAGGUAGUGACAAUAAAUACUGAUACAGGGCUCUUUUGGGUCUUGUAAUCGGAAUGAGUACAAUUUAAAUCUCUUAACGAGGAACAAUUGGAGGGCAAGUUUGGUGCCAGCAGCCGCGGUAAUUCCAGCUCCAAUAGCGUAUAUUAAAGUUGUUGUGGUUAAAAAGCUCGUAGUUG
rnacentral:rRNA from 1 species